rnacentral:rRNA from 1 species
GACGAACGCUGGCGGCGUGCUUAACACAUGCAAGUCGAACGGAAAGGCCCUGCUUUUGUGGGGUGCUCGAGUGGCGAACGGGUGAGUAACACGUGAGUAACCUGCCCUUGACUUUGGGAUAACUUCAGGAAACUGGGGCUAAUACCGGAUAGGAGCUCCUGCUGCAUGGUGGGGGUUGGAAAGUUUCGGCGGUUGGGGAUGGACUCGCGGCUUACCAGCUUGUUGGUGGGGUAGUGGAUUACCAAGGCAUGGACGGGUAGCCGGCCUGAGAGGGUGACCGGCCACAUUGGGACUGAGAUACGGCCCAGACUCCUACGGGAGGCAGCAGUGGGGAAUAUUGCACAAUGGGCGGAGGCCUGAUGCAGCAACGCCGCGUGCGGGAUGACGGCCUUCGGGUUGUAAACCGCUUUCGCCUGUGACGAAGCGUGAGUGACGGUAAUGGGUAAAGAAGCACCGGCUAACUACGU